AUCCACACACCUCAGGUUCCCAAAGUGCUGGGAGUAGAGGCGUAAGCCAGAAGCCACCAUGCCUGACCCAAAUCAGAUUUUUUUUAAUUAAGUUAAAAUUUUGUGUUUUCUCAAGAAGAAUUGUAAAUAACAGAAUUAUUAUAAAGUUUUAUCUUUCAUUGGCAGGGAUUUCUCUGAAAUUUCUCACCUUUGAUCUGUCACUUUAAUAUAUCAAGAGCCAGGGUGGUACUACUUCUUUUUGGUCUGAGCUCCUAUUCUUUGUUAAAAUUUGUUUACUUUUAUUCUAACAUAUUUCUAAGACACAUAAAUUAUGUUUUGCCUCAUAUUCAUACUAUGCUACUGGAUUCCUUUGGAAAUUAAUAGUACAGAAGUCUCCGGUCUUUCUUAUUUUAUAAUUAAACCACUGUUUGAGAUAAAAAGGCAUGCCUUCCUGGAAUACAUAAUUUUUUGAAAAUCUUUAGUAUUCAUUUGUUUCAAUAGAAAAAUACAGCUAUAUCUUUAGUACUGCAUAUAUUACCUACUAAUAAUUUCUGUGUUUCUAAAAGCAAAUUACUUAUCUUGAACAUUACAGAAAACAAUGUAAGCUAUAAUACCUGUCUAGAUUCAUCACUGAUUCAAGCGGUAUUUUUCUUGUGAUAAGAUUUUUCUUUCUCUCUUAUUAUGAUGCAUGGAUUGGGAAAUUUUUUUUUAAAAGGAAAGCUUAUCCGAUGCUUUUAUCUGUGCAAUUUUUUCUAAAAUAGUUUAUGGGUUAGAGGAUCAUUUUUACGCUUAAGAGUAAACUCAGAACGCUGUAAUUCUGCUAUCAAGCUUUUAUUUGAUCAGAUAGCAAUGUUGUGUUUUAUGUGCAUUUUGUAGUUUGUGAUUGAUGUAUGUCAUCCACUAGAUUGAAGCUUCAUGAAAGCAGGCACUGUGUUUAUCAUAUUUAUCACUGUGUCCCCAGUGCUUGACUGACGAGCCUAUAUUAACCACUCAUUUGAUGAAUAAAUUAGUUAUUCUUUUAAAUAAUUUAUUCAGAAGUUCGAGCUUAAUAAGGGCUUACUUAAUGAAAGUAUACCCCCUAUUAACAAAUCUAGCUCAUGUUUUCCAUGCACUGAAGGCACUGGUAUCAAAUGUGCUAUCACUAAGGAUUAAUUUAAGGAUAUGUUAGAAAAGAAGUCAGUAAUUUUACAGAAGGCAUUCUUUAGAAGAAUAUACUCAUUCCUUUAUAAAACCUGUCUUCAAAGUUACUUAAUACAUAAAUGUGAGAAAAUCAUGGUUGGAAAGAUUCAGCAACAAAUAUCUGAGCACCGCUGCAUGACAGGCUCUGUUCUAGGCUCUGGGGCUCAGCAAGGAGAGGAUAGAAGAAUUUCUGCCUUUUGUUUCAGUGGUGGGAGAUAAGUAGUGAACCUGUAAACUAAAACAAUAUAAUUCCAGACAGGCUUUAGUGCCGUGGGCACUGAGAUAAGGAACCAAGAUAGGACAGUGAGGUAGUGAUCCUUUUUUACAUCAUUUCCUUUACCCCUCCCCAAAACGUGAUUGGUAUUUUGGGGAUGGUUAAAGAGUCCCUUGAUGUGGCGUAAUAUAGAUCAACCGUUACACUCAGUAUGACUAAACAACAAUUUAGCACCCUUUGCAACAAAUGGCAACAAAUGGUUUAGAGGAUUCCUAGAGAAAUAUAAAACUUAAUGGAAAACAGGACUUUUCUUGAACAUUCAUGACUGCCAAGUUCACAGUAACUUCUGUAUUAGAAUGGAAUGCUUUUUCAGAUUAAACUACCACAUCUAUUCAUAGUAGCUGCACAUAUCACUUUCAUUUGUGCUAAAAACUAAAUGAAAAUUUACAUGAUGUACGGGUGAUUUCGUGGUUUAAAAUUCCAGUAGUUUCCUGUUCUACUAUUUGCUUAAGAACAUUUGUAGUUAGCUCAUCUAACAAGACCUGCCACUUUCUGAGCAUUUACUAAGCUCUACGUUUUCCACCAUUUACCCUGAUUAUUUAGUCGGAGGGCCUCUAAAGUGAGACACAACAUGAUCCAUUGGGGUGAGCAAUAAAAUGUUAGAACUUCUGUUUGUUUUAUCUCAUCUUUUUUAUAAUUUGCUUUUGCAUUUUAUAGCAGGCAUAAUUUACUAAUUUUAACAAUGUUUUAGAAAAAUGUAACUGCCAUAAGUACAUAUUCAGUAUUUUUUCCUAAUAUACUCAGAAAUGUUUGCAAUCACUGAUGUAAUUUCAUCUGCAGAACAUCCUUAUUAAAUCUAAGUUAUUACACUUAAUCUUGAUGAUGGGAAAGUUGAUUCUUAGGUAAGUUACUUGCUGAGGGACCCAUAUCCGGUGGUUGGCAGAGCAGAGAUGCAAAUCCCUGUUCUGUCUUAAUUCCAAAUUCCAUGUUAAUAAUCUGUAAGUUAUGUUAUGUCGCCAACUUGCUUUAGAAGAAAGCAAGAAUGUGUACAAAAUAGUGGAGACCUGAAAGAUAAAAUGAAUUCAAUUAAUCAGUUGUGCAGUUGUGUAAUCACUGGAUCAGCACUCAGGGUGGGAAGUGGGAGUCAUCGGCCUGUCUCGGACUCAGCUGCUUAGUGAGGCGGCCUCCACAUACUCUAUGUACUGUAUUCCACUUUCCUUGAAAAUAGGAUGGAAAUAUGUUUUUCAUGAUUUUCCCUCAACUGGCCUUUAGAAUCUUCUUAUUUAAAGUACUUAAGAUUUCCUGAGAUCCCUAAUUCCAUGCUCCUCCUUUCUGGAAUGAUAGAUGCCUGCUUAUGAAUGCUUUGUGGUAGAUUUUUCCACCCUGGGUAUUGUUGUCUUCUCACUCAGAUAAGAUGGAUGUGUUGUUUUGUAAGCUACACCCAAUCACCUCUCUAAUCCUGAUUCCUUUCAGCUGGCUGUGUGAAUUCUGGUCUUAUAACUAAGCCCUUGGCUUUGUGAGUUCAAAUGUGAUUUCUGUGGUUUGAAAAACACCAAGUUAAAAUCUAUUUCUUGGCCUUAGAAAAAUUAACCAGUUGAAUGAUUUCUCCAGAAGCAGGCAAAGGAACCAUUCCAAUGGUUUAGUGACUUCAUGCUCUUAGUCUUAGUACUGUAGGCCAGAUUAAAGAGAAAGGAAAAAAGGUGGAAAGUCUCUUUUUAAAACAAGGAUGAUACCCAACAGAGAGGAGCCCAGCAGUCUCUGAGAACCAGGGUUGUAGAAUGGCUCUGAGAAUCCCACAGCACAUCCCAAUUCCAGAGUUACCAUAUUUUAAACCUCAAGAGAAUGAUGACUGCAGUGGCCUCUUAACUGGUCAUACAGCCUUUUUUUCCCCCUAAUCCAUCCCCAGACAGCUACUAGUAACCUUUCUGAAAUGUAAAUUUGAUCCUGUCUCUCCUCUUCUAAAAUUCACCAGGUGUCCCUUGGCUUUGGAAUUGUCAGCAUAAUGCACAGACCUUUCCAUUUCCAUUUCCUGCUGGCUUUUCCAGCUUCAUCUUCCUCAGUGCCACACCUCACUUCAUCUGUCAUUUCCAUACUGACUAAGUGGCAACUUCUCAAACGUUAUGUGUCUUUUCAUACCUCUGUCUUCGUACAUGCAAUUUCUUCGGUUUGGAAUUACCUCCCUCAUCCUUCCCCACCUGUCCCCACUGCUUGGCUAAAUCUUAAUCCACUGUUUAGGGUUUAAAAUCAAGUGUCACCUCGUGUUGGACAGAUUUUUUUUGAGCCAUCAAGACUAGAAAGAUGCCUCAUCCCUGUGUUUAUCCUUUGUACUUACAUAAGAAUACAUAUAUAGCAUAUAACAUAUAACGUGAUUCUCCUAGGGGAGCACUAUUUCUCUCUGAUGGUAAUCCUGUAUUAUAGUUUAAAGGCUUUGUAGUUUGAAACUGCAAGGAAAAGCAAGAGAGCUGGCACCUGAGGCACUAAGGCCAGGCUAAGGGAGAAUGGUAGGAGUUGGACAUAGAAAUGUCUACAGUGAUCAAACAAGAUGGAGCCAGGUACAAAGAUGGGAUGCUUAGAAGCAUUCUACAUCAGGGGUUACAAACUCCAGCCCAAGGGCUAGAUCCACCCACUGCCUAUUUUUGUAAAUAAAGCUUUGUUGGAACACAGCUACAUCAAUUUGUUUACCUGUUGUCUUUAGCUGUUUUCAUGCUACCACAGCAGAAUUAACUAGGUGCAACACAGAAUAUAUGGCCCUCAAACUCUAAAAUACUCACCAUCUGUCCUUUUACAGAGAAAGCUUGUCAACCCUGCUUUAGAUGAGCAGUUCUCAUAGGUUGUCAGAUCAGCAGCUUUGCAACCACUGCACAUUCCAGGUUCACCAUAGAGCUAUUCAGCAAGGAAUUCUGGAUGUGGGGCCCAGCAAUCUGUGUUAAUAAGCUGCUCAGGUGAUUCUGAAAAAUUAAGGUUUGAAAAGCACCAUCUAGAUUUCUGGCCUGGUGGCUAAUUACCUGGGACUUGAUGACAACCAGGCAGUCAGGAUUUAGGAGAAACACCAGUAAGGCAAGGAGGUACACUUAGAAAACAAGGCAGCCAGGAAUCCAAGGAGAGUUUCUAGUGAAGCUUUCUGAAAUAUAAAUUUCAUACAGGUAGGAACUCACUAUUGUAUGCCCAGCACCUUGCCCAGAGGUACCUGCUUAGUGUAUAUUUGUGAAUGAAUGCAGGCAUGCAUGUGUGCUUGUAAAGGAGCUAAUCCCGAAAUGUGAUUCUGGGGCCUGCAGGUAAAAAUAGAGAAAUAGGUACACCUGACCAAGGUGACUCAGAGCUGAGGCUGAAACCCACUCAUAGAAAUAAAGUAUUAUUGAAGACCAAGAACAGACACAGAAGUUUAAAAGCCUGAUGAUUUGAACAAAAUUCUAAUUUUCAUCUAAUCUCAGUUUUACCUCCCAUUUGCUUCCUUGGGUAUGUAUUAGUUCUUGAUGUUUUGUUCUUAUGGUCAUAGCUCAGCUCCACCUCUAGUUGACCUUAGACAAUUUACUCAACCUCCCCAAAGCUAGUAACUGAAUUCAUAAAUGUAAAUCACUUAGCAGUGCCUGGUACAUUUUUUCUAUUCAUGAAAUUCGAGUUUCCUCUUCAACAUUCCUAGUCAUAAUCUUAUUUCAUAUGGAAAUAAAUGGUACUAAAUGUUACUAGUGUGUAUCCACAUUUACUCCAGUGGUACUUUUGCUUAACAAUAUUACUGUCUUCAAGGAAAUUUCUGCCAAAUAGCCCAUGUUGUAAUCUGAAGCCUAGGUUGAUACGAGUUUGAUUAUUAUACUUUUCUCAUUUAGGGGCAUAUCACAAACUUGUUAAAAAUAUGACUUCAUAUAAGCACUGACAGAAUAUUUGCUAAUUUGGAAAUAGGUCACUUUGAGGUUCUAUUAUUUAGCAAAAUAUACAUGUAUUGGGGAAAAACGAUAAUUUCUAAAUCUAUCAUAAUACAUUUUACCAGACUCUACAUGAAGCUUUCUGUCCUCAGAGUAGAGAUGUUACAUUUAGUGUCUUUUUAAAAAUUAUGCAUACAUUAGGAACAUCUGAAAGAGAAAAUAAGAUUACUGGAGAAUUUACUAGGUGAAUAAAUAUUAUCUUAAGAUUUUUUCAGUGAUAACUAAAUCUAUAUAAUGUCAAAGAGUCAUCAAUCUCAAGCCUUUAUAACAUUUGGCAUGGUGACAUUUAGAAAGCAAAAUUAGUGUUUGGAGUUUUUUAAUUCCAUAAAUGCCAUGGGAAUUCUAUCACGUUUCAACACUUGCUGAAUAUCUAAUUCCCCUAGUGCCCAUUAGUGGCCAUCCGUGUAAGGUAAUACAUUUUUGGGAUGAAAUUGAUUACGGCCUAAACACUCUUGUGUUAUGAUCGGGAAAAGCAUGCAAAGUUCAAAUCUUUUUUUCUGAUGAUUAUUAUAUAGCUAACAAUAUUAAUUUCCAAAAGCAGAACAGCCCAUCACUCAAGAUUCUAAUCUUACCAUAAAUGAUACCAGGGUAAAAAGGAAAGGAGUCCGCAGAGCCUCGUGCUAAAAUUAAUAAGUGCUGUUCUCAAGGAGCUCUUAGAAUAAAGGGAAAAUCGACACACUUUUGGAGCAAAGUGUUUCCCUCAUAGGCAUCAACGUAGACCCAUUACAAUUUAGCUGAAUAUUCAGAAAUGUUUUAUUACUCUUCUUAAGGAUUCAUGUUAUCGUCACCACCAACACACUCCACGUUAACCUAUUUGUAACUUUUCUCAGCAUACCUGGCUGGCCCUACACCUCUGAUCCUUUAUGUUAUUUGUGCCUGCUUUGAAAAUGUUACUAUUACCUGUGCAAAGCUAGAUGCUUUUCAUCUUUCAAAUAUGAUUUCAAUGCAAUCUCUCCAGUGAAGUCAUUCUAUUUUUAUAGGUACAUGAGUGGAAAUAUAUAAUAUAUUGGUAUACUUUCUGAGCUCAUUUUUCCCCUUAGGGGAUAGAAAAUAUACAAAUAUAUUCAUUUAUAUAUUUCUAAUGAAUGUGUUCAUAUCUUGGCUCCCACAUUAUCUAGUUACCCCAGUGUUCCAAAAAAUAUUUUUGCAGGAAAUGUUGAGGGCUUAUAUUAGUAAACUGUCCCCAGGAUCACUAAA